rnacentral:tRNA from 1 species
GAACUUUUAGUGUAAUAGCACUAAGACUUUUCAUUUCUUAAGUUAUAAGUUCU